ACGAACGCUGGCGGCGUGCUUAACACAUGCAAGUCGAACGGAAAGGCCCUGCUUUUGUGGGGUGCUCGAGUGGCGAACGGGUGAGUAACACGUGAGUAACCUGCCCUUGACUUUGGGAUAACUUCAGGAAACUGGGGCUAAUACUGGAUAGGAGCUCCUGCUGCAUGGUGGGGGUUGGAAAGUUUCGGCGGUUGGGGAUGGACUCGCGGCUUAUCAGCUUGUUGGUGGGGUAGUGGCUUACCAAGGCUUUGACGGGUAGCCGGCCUGAGAGGGUGACCGGCCACAUUGGGACUGAGGUACGGCCCAGACUCCUACGGGAGGCAGCAGUGGGGAAUAUUGCACAAUGGGCGGAAGCCUGAUGCAGCAACUCCGCGUGCGGGAUGACGGCCUUCGGGUUGUAAACCGCUUUCGCCUGUGACGAAGCGUGAGUGACGGUAAUGGGUAAAGAAGCACCGGCUAACUACGUG
rnacentral:rRNA from 1 species